UACGAAGGGGGCUAGCGUUGCUCGGAAUCGCUGGGCGUAAAGCGCACGUAGGCGGAUUGCUAAGUCAGGGGUGAAAUCCUGGAGCUCAACUCCAGAACUGCCUUUGAUACUGGCGAUCUCGAGUUCGGGAGAGGUGAGUGGAACUGCGAGUGUAGAGGUGAAAUUCGUAGAUAUUCGCAAGAACACCAGUGGCGAAGGCGGCUCACUGGCCCGGUUCUGACGCUGAGGUGCGAAAGCGUGGGGAGCAAACAGG
rnacentral:rRNA from 1 species